UGCAGUCGACGAUGAAGCCCUUCGGGGUGGAUUAGUGGCGAACGGGUGAGUAACACGUGGGCAAUCUGCCCUUCACUCUGGGACAAGCCCUGGAAACGGGGUCUAAUACCGGAUAACACUUCUUCAGGCAUCUGAAGAGGUUAAAAGCUCCGGCGGUGAAGGAUGAGCCCGCGGCCUAUCAGCUUGUUGGUGGGGUAAUGGCCUACCAAGGCGACGACGGGUAGCCGGCCUGAGAGGGCGACCGGCCACACUGGGACUGAGACACGGCCCAGACUCCUACGGGAGGCAGCAGUGGGGAAUAUUGCACAAUGGGCGAAAGCCUGAUGCAGCGACGCCGCGUGAGGGAUGACGGCCUUCGGGUUGUAAACCUCUUUCAGCAGGGAAGAAGCGAAAGUGACGGUACCUGCAGAAGAAGCGCCGGCUAACUACGUGCCAGCAGCCGCGGUAAUACGUAGGGCGCAAGCGUUGUCCGGAAUUAUUGGGCGUAAAGAGCUCGUAGGCGGCUUGUCACGUCGGAUGUGAAAGCCCGGGGCUUAACCCCGGGUCUGCAUUCGAUACGGGCAGGCUAGAGUGUGGUAGGGGAGAUCGGAAUUCCUGGUGUAGCGGUGAAAUGCGCAGAUAUCAGGAGGAACACCGGUGGCGAAGGCGGAUCUCUGGGCCAUUACUGACGCUGAGGAGCGAAAGCGUGGGGAGCGAACAGGAUUAGAUACCCUGGUAGUCCACGCCGUAAACGUUGGGAACUAGGUGUUGGCGACAUUCCACGUCGUCGGUGCCGCAGCUAACGCAUUAAGUUCCCCGCCUG
rnacentral:rRNA from 1 species